UACGUAGGAAGCAAGCGUUUGUCCGGAAUCACUGGGCGUAAAGGGCGCGUAGGCGGCCCGCUAAAUCGAACGUGAAAUCCCCUGGGCUCAACCCAGGAACUGCGUCCGAUACUGCAGGCUUGAAUCCGGGAGAGGGAUGUGGAAUUCCAGGUGUAGCGGUGAAAUGCGUAGAUUAUCUGGAGGAACACCGGUGGCGAAGGCGGCAUCCUGGACCGGUAUUGACGCUGAUGCGCGAAAGCCAGGGGAGCAAACGGG
rnacentral:rRNA from 1 species